GAUGAACGCUGGCGGCGUGCCUAAUACAUGCAAGUCGAACGAGGUGCUUGAGUAGCAAUACGAGAGUAUCCUAGUGGCGAACGGGUGAGUAACGCGUUGGUGACCUACCCCAAAGUGUGGGAUAACAGUCCGAAAGGACUGCUAAUACCGCAUGUGGUUAUCGGAUUUAGAAACUGAUAUCUAAAGGAGCAAUUCGCUUUGGGAGGGACCUGCGUCCCAUCAGCUAGUUGGUGAGGUAAUGGCUCACCAAGGCUACGACGGGUAGGGGACCUGAGAGGGUGACCCCCCACAAUGGAACUGAAACACGGUCCAUACACCUACGGGUGGCAGCAGUAGGGAAUAUUGCUCAAUGGGCGAAAGCCUGAAGCAGCAACGCCGCGUGUGCGAUGAAGGCCUUCGGGUCGUAAAGCACUUUCUGAGAGAUGAGCAAGGACAGUAUCUCAGGAAUAAGUCUCGGCUAACUACGUGCCAGCAGCC
rnacentral:rRNA from 1 species